CAGUGUCUCUGUGUCCCACCAGUGUCUCUGUGUCCCACCAGUGUCUCUGUGUCCCACCAUGUCUCUGUGUCCCAGCAGUGUCUCUGUUGUAAGGCUGCUGGGAGAGACUGCAGCUUCUGUUUCCUGUACCUAUCUGUUCCCCUGUGUGGGCGCCUCUAACCCAAAGCUCCAGAGGCUUGAGUGUCUUCUUAUGUUCACCAUGAAGACCCCAUGGAUUGUAAGGCAUUGGCCUCUACCAACUGGGGGAUCACAGACUGGCAACAUCCUGAGUAAUUAGGUUGGAAUUUCAUAAUGCGAUUGUGCUGUUCAAUGCCAUUAUAAAUAAUGAAUGAUUUACUACUACUACGACUACUACUACUUUACUGUUUGGCACCAGUAGAUCUCAAACAUACUGAAAACAAUGGGAUUGAAUGUCAACAAUAUAGUACCUAAUUUCCCCCCCC
ensembl:lncRNA